CUUGAAGCUGUCACUUCCCUCUGUCCAGCUGCCCUUCCUCGCUGCUGACAUGGGUAGAGGCUGGGUGGUGCCUGGGAAUGAAAGGGCUUCUCCUUUGACCGGAUGAACCUGAGUGCUGAACUUCAGAGCUGGUGAGAUGGCUCAGAUGCACAGACAUGAGGACCUGGAUUCAGAUCCCCAGUAUCCACACAGAAACCAGGCACGAAGUACACACUCCAUGGCAACUGUCACUUGAUAAGCAUAGUGCCAACCCCAUCACUGCGGAAAGUGACUCUUAACAAGAGAUGGAAGAAUCGGAAGGAAGAAUGGAAGGCCCAGUCUGCCUAACAGCAGCAACACAAGUGUCCAGGCCCUCAGACUUUCCGCUUUGAAGCAUUUAAAUGGAAAUAAAAGUGAAUCUAUUCUUUUUGGAUCGUU